AGUUGUGAUACAGAUCGGAAGAAACCAAAAUACCAAACCUAUGGCUUCUGAGCUUUGUUCCUUUGAUUUUUUUAGGAGCUUGAAGGACUUUUGCUCUGCUAUUCAACAAAACAUACGCCUGCUCUGAGCAUGGCCACUGUUCAAUCUCUCAAGCUUCUAAGCACACACUCUUUCCAUACUAAUCCAUUUCCUAAAUCUCAAUCUUUCACUGCAAACCCCAAUUUCUCUGUUCGUUCUCUGGCCGCUGCUCCCAAAUCAUCCCCUCAAAAGAGCACCGACAUCACUUCGCUUGAGAAUUCGCCACCGAAACCCAAACCAAAAUCCUCACUGGUUGAUUCUCCCGAGCCAAGCGCGCCUUCCUCUCCAUCUUUAUUAAAUUCGUUCUCUGGUCUUGCCGGCCGUUUGAGAAAUGGGUUUAAGAUUGAUGAGCUUGGUUUUGAAAUUUUGUCAAUUGCAUUGCCUGCUGCAUUGGCUCUCGCUGCUGACCCCAUUACGUCACUCGUCGAUACAGCUUUUGUUGGUCAUAUAGGACCGGUUGAAUUGGCGGCAGUUGGGGUAUCCGUUUCUGCAUUCAAUCUGGUUUCAAAGUUGUUUAAUGUUCCAUUGCUCAACGUCACAACAUCAUUUGUUGCUGAAGAGCAGGCAUUGAUUAGUAAAGAGAAAGAUUGUGUGAAUGAGCCCCAAGGCAAGACAUAUUUACCAGCUGUGUCUACUUCUUUAGCACUUGCUGCUGCUGUUGGCAUUGCUGAAGCUGUUGCACUCUUUCUUGGCUCAGGAUUCUUAAUGAAUAUCAUGGGUAUAACUGCUGAUUCACCUAUGCGAGUACCAGCUGAGAAUUUUCUUUCUUGGAGGGCAUUUGGUGCUCCACCCAUUGUAAUUGCACUUGCUGCACAAGGCACUUUUCGUGGAUUUAAGGAUACAAAGACACCUCUAUAUGCCAUUGGUGCUGGCAACUUGCUCAAUGCAGUACUGGAUCCAAUACUGAUUUUUGUGUUUGGUUUUGGCAUUGGUGGUGCUGCAAUUUCCACUGUUAUUUCUGAAUAUUUUAUUGCUUUUAUCCUUCUGUGGAAGUUGAAUAGCGAAGUGACCUUGAUUUCUCCAAAUAUUGAUGGUAGCAGAGUUGUCCGCUAUCUAAAUUCUGGUGGUCUCCUUAUUGGCAGAACCAUAGCUGUGCUUUUAACAAUGACACUAGCCACAUCCAUGGCAGCUAGGGAGGGCCCCAUACCAAUGGCUGGUCAUCAAAUAUGCAUGCAAGUUUGGUUGGCUGUAUCUUUGCUCAAUGAUGCUUUAGCUCUGGCUGGUCAGGCUCUUCUAGCCGGUGGAUACUCCCAAGGAAAUUAUGAACAAGCACGUCAAGUGACAUAUAGAGUUUUAGAGAUCGGUAUAAUAACCGGAAUUGGUUUGGGGGCAAUAUUAUUCAUCGGAUUUGGAGCAUUUUCUAGCUUGUUCAGUACAGAUUCAGAAGUUUUGGAGAUUGCUUGGUCUGGUGUUCUGUUUGUUGCCGGGUCUCAACCAAUGAAUGCUCUUGCAUUUGUUCUUGAUGGGCUUUACUAUGGCGUUUCAGACUUCGGAUUUGCUGCCUACUCUAUGCUACUAGUAGGACUCAUCUCUUCUUUGUUCAUCCUUGCGGCUGCACCUGUAUUUGGUCUUGCUGGAGUCUGGACAGGGUUGUUUCUCUUCAUGACCUUGAGGGUGGCGGCUGGAAUGUGGAGGUAAUACUUUUGGUUCUGUAGGAGGAUAUAUAUUUCUCUGUAGGAUACUUGGCCAAAAUGUGACCCAUUAGCCCACAAGUACCGUGACAAAGCGGCUGUUGCUCACCCGACACAUUGUACGACGUCAGAAUUCACCCAACACGAUCAUGUGGGGUGAACAAGGAUUGGGGAUCGGAUGCGGGCAAAUGUCCCGCCAAUGGCUGAGAUGUUCAGUCGAUUCCUUCCCUCUUUGUGGGGGUCCGAUUAACUUUAUUAAAUUAUCAAUUAAUUGCCAUGAACUGGGAUGCCUGUAUGUAGAAUGUACAUCCUACAUCCUUGUCCAACCUUUUUUCAACUCCAGUGCAUAUAUGGAAUCACCAAUCAUCACCAUAUCAACGUAUCCAUCUUAAUGUGGCAUGAUAGGCACUGUUAUCAGCACAAGUCCAAGUUUGAUGAGCUGCUGUAUGUCAAAAUACAGCAUCUUCUUCCCAGGCCAUUUCGUUUCUUUUUCCCCUUCAAAGAUGACAUUGAUGGCUUCAAGGUUGGGCACAAAAACUGGUCCAUGGAAACUGGUUUGGGCCAAAGGGGAACAGGAAAGAGAUCUAAGUGAGUGAUACACUGAUUUUGCUAAUAUAGUCUGCUCAUAACUCAAUGAGGGCAGGGUCAUAAGACGUA